UAGCAUAUCAAUAAGCGGAGGAAAAGAAACCAACAGGGAUUGCCCUAGUAACGGCGAGUGAAGCGGCAACAGCUCAAAUUUGAAAUCUGGCCUCGGCCCGAGUUGUAAUUUGCAGAGGAUGUUUCUGGCGCGGUGCCUUCCGAGUUCCCUGGAACGGGACGCCACAGAGGGUGAGAGCCCCGUAUGGUUGGACACCAAGCCUGUGUGAAACUCCUUCGACGAGUCGAGUAGUUUGGGAAUGCUGCUCUAAAUGGGAGGUAAAUCUCUUCUAAAGCUAAAUACCGGCCAGAGACCGAUAGCGCACAAGUAGAGUGAUCGAAAGAUGAAAAGCACCUUGAAAAGGGGGUUAAACAGUACGUGAAAUUGUUGAAAGGGAAGCGCUCAUGACCAGACUUGUGCCGGGCGGUUCAUCCGGGGUUCUCCCCGGUGCACUCCGCCCGGCUCAGGCCAGCAUCGGUUCUCGUUGGGGGAUAAGAACGGUAGGAACGUGGCCCUCCCUCGGGAGGGUGUUAUAGCCUGCCGUACGAUACCCUGAUGGGGACCGAGGUUCGCGCUCCGCAAGGAUGCUGGCGUAAUGGUCAUCAGCGACCCGUCUUGAAACACGGACCAAGGAGUCGUCCAUUAGAGCGAGCGUUUGGGUGUAAAACCCGCACGCGUAAUGAAAGUGAAAUUAGGUGAGAGCUUCGGCGCAUCAUCGACCGAUCCUGAUGUUCUCGGAUGGAUUUGAGUAAGAGUUUUAACGGACGGACCCGAAAGACAGUGAACUAUGCUUGUAUAGGGUGAAGCCAGAGGAAACUCUGGUGGAGGCUCGCAGCGGUUCUGACGUGCAAAUCGAUCGUCAAAUAUGAACAUGGGGGUUAAAGACUAAUCGAAAUGUCUAAUCCUGGUUCCGGCAAU
rnacentral:rRNA from 1 species